AGCGUGCGUAGGCGGAUCUUCAGGCUUGUUGUGAAAUCCCACGGCUCAAUUGUGGAAUUGCGAUGAAAACCAGGAGAUCUUGAGUCAGGAAUUGGCGGGGGAGCACAUCCGGUGUGAKCGGUGAAUAUGCGUUGAGAUCGGAAGGAACGCCCGCGGCGAAAGCGAGUCUCUGGACCCAUACUGACGCUGAGACGCGAAAGCCAGGGGAGCAAACGGGAUUAGAUACCCCGGUAGUCCUGGCUGUAAACAUUGGGCACUGGGUAGUGGAACCGCCGAUGGUUUCACUGCCGCAGGGAAACCGUGAAGUGCCCCGCCUGGGGAGUAUGGUCGCAAGGCUGAAACUCAAAGGAAUUGGCGG
rnacentral:rRNA from 1 species